AAGAAUUAUUCCAGUGAGGAGGUUCAAACUAGGUUCGUAGAAGUUAAUUCAAAUAACGUAAUUCCGCCAACGUUAGUCAGAUCUCAAAAAAAAUUGACUUUUGAAAUUCUGGUUUGUUUAAAAAAAAUUUUUGGAUACUUAUUUAUUAAAAAAAUGUAGACAAAAUUUUCUAAGCAUUGUUUUUUUUAGUGCAGUGAGUUCUAAAAAUUCCAAGAAAAUAUUUCAUUUGUGUAUUUUAGUAGAUAUUUUAUUUUCAUUUUUUCUCUAAGUAAUAAAGAUUAGUGUUCAAUAUUUAUUACAGGUAUAACAAAGAAAAUUUAAUGAAAAAAUAUAAAAAGUUUAGUAUUUUUUGUGGAAUAUAGACGACUAAUUAUACUAUAGUAAAGAUAGGUAGGUAUUAGUAGUAAACUGAAUUAAGUUGAAUGGAUAAUUUAUGAAAUUUAAAAAAAUAUAGGCAUUUGGCAUAAUGAAGUGUUGUGACUUCGAAAAACUAAAUUGUCCAGUUGUGAAGAAGUGCUGCUUUUGUGUGCCUAUUAGAAAGGGUGUUAUUAUUUUUGGAUAUGUCAAUUUGGUUCUUUCCCUCCUGUCAGUCCCUUUCCUCCUCUUCUUACUAGUGGAAGGGAUAACAAGUGCGAGGGAUACAGAAGAUAACCAGGAAGUAGACAAGGAAGCUGCGCCGUUAGAUCCUGUGCUUCAUAUACCAUUGACGAUUGCUUUUGUGGCGAUUGAUGUGAUCAUCACAAUUAUACUGCUGGUUGGUGCUCAUAAGAAAAAACUUAUUCUUCUACAAAUAUACUUUUACUUUGGUACGCUGUUCCAAAUCCUGACCCUGUGUGUCGACCUCAUAUACUUUGACUUCAGAGAAUACGUGGAGAACAUUAUAUACUUCAUCUUUUUUGGUCUAAACAUCUACCUGCUGUUUCUGGUGUACAACACGAUGCAAGCCAUCCAGGAAAGUCGAGAAGUGCAAUACGUCACAUACCGCGAGCGCUAGCAUCCCCUACCGCCUUCACCCUUAUUGCUUAACCUACAGAUAAAAUAUGCAGUCACGUGGAGAUCCCCAUACUAACAAAAUGCUGCUUCUGCGUGCCGCUGAGGAAGGGCCUCAUCGCCUUCGCUUACGUCAAUUUAGUGCUAACAGUAGUGGUG